rnacentral:tRNA from 1 species
GCCUAGCUAGCGCAGUCUGAAGAGCACGAAUCUGUUGUACACGGGAUCGUGGGUUCGAGUACCGCGUUGGGUG